UACAGAGGGGGCAAGCGUUGUUCGGAAUUACUGGGCGUAAAGGGCGCGUAGGCGGCCUUCUAAGUCGAACGUGAAAUCCCCGGGCUCAACCCGGGAACUGCGUCCGAUACUGGAAGGCUUGAAUCCGGGAGAGGGAUGCGGGAUUCCAGGUGUAGCGGUGAAAUGCGUAGAUAUCUGGAGGAACACCGGUGGCGAAGGCGGCAUCCUGGACCGGUAUUGACGCUGAGGCGCGAAAGCCAGGGGAGCAAACGGG
rnacentral:rRNA from 1 species